AGAGUUUGAUCAUGGCUCAGGACGAACGCUGGCGGCACGCCUAACACAUGCAAGUCGAACGAAGUAAGAAGCUUGCUUCUUGCUUAGUGGCGGACGGGUGAGUAACACGUGAGCAACCUGCCUUAAAGAGGGGGACAACAGUUGGAAACGACUGCUAAUACCGCAUAAUGUGCGCUGGAAGCAUUUCCUAUGCACCAAAGGAGCAAUCCGCUUUAAGAUGGGCUCGCGCCUGAUUAGAUAGUUGGUGAGGUAACGGCCCACCAAGUCUGCGAUCAGUAGCCGGACUGAGAGGUUGAACGGCCACAUUGGGACUGAGACACGGCCCAGACUCCUACGGGAGGCAGCAGUGGGGGAUAUUGGUCAAUGGGGGAAACCCUGAACCAGCGAUGCCGCGUGAGGGAAGAAGGUUUUCGGAUUGUAAACCUCUGUCAUCGGGGAAGAUAAUGACGGUACCCGAGAAGGAAGCCACGACUAACUACGUGCCAGCAGCCGCGGUAAUACGUAGGUGGCGAGCGUUGUCCGGAAUUACUGGGUGUAAAGGGAGUGUAGGCGGGACGGCAAGUCAGGUGUGAAAUCUAUGGGCUCAACCCAUAGCGUGCACUUGAAACUGUUGUUCUUGAGUGAAGUAGAGGCAAGCGGAAUUCCUAGUGUAGCGGUGAAAUGCGUAGAUAUUAGGAGGAACACCAGUGACGAAGGCGGCUUGCUGGGCUUUUACUGACGCUGAGGCUCGAAAGCGUGGGGAGCAAACA
rnacentral:rRNA from 1 species